GCUUAGGCCAUACCACCCUGAACAGCGCCCGAUCUCGUCCGAUCUCGGAAGCUAAGCAGGGUCGGGCCUGGUUAGUACUUGGAUGGGAGACCGCCUGGGAAUACCAGGUGCUGUAAGCU
rnacentral:rRNA from 1 species